CUGCAGAAUAGAAUCUGGAAAUUACUGCGGAACAUAGCAGCGUGCGGCUACAAUGAUGAGAUCGUAUCCAGGGAGGUCACAACCCAACAGCAAGGGAAACAGACUAGACAAGUCUCUUAGUUGUUUAGCACGAGUCCGUUGUAUUCCCCCCAACCCCGUGCCGGGGGAGGCGGGGGCAGGAGGUGGAAGCCCGGGAGCCUGAGCAGAGCCCCAGAAAGCUGAGAGCAGAGAGAGGGGACAGAGACCCGAGGCUGGGGUUUCAUCAGGAGUCCCAUGGCAGGAGUCUUAAACUCACAUUACAGACUCCUCAGAACGGGAAGGCUGCACAACGGACCACAUUAAUAAUGACAAGAGUUGUAAUUUUACACUGUUCCAAAGAAGUAAAGGUCAUACUUGGAUCUACAAAAAAUUGUCUACUCUGCAACACAGAUGAGGAACAGACUUGGAGCUAAGCUGCUGCUUGAAGCUGUGUGUGCAGAGAUGUGAAACACCCCCUGUGCAAACACAACCUCUGCCCCAGAACACCUCGCCAGCUGGAGCUCAAGUUCACUUCUGUGUAGCUUCACAAGAAAUCUGUGUGAAGAAAUCUCCGUAUGAUGUACAAGUUCUUCAUAAACACAUAGCCAUUAUGUUCUACCAGCUGUUUCCCAUGCUAUCCAUCUUCCUCCAUGUUAGUACUAAAGAAAUACAAUUACCAAAGAAGAAGCAGCAAAGACACUGCAUAAGCACUCCAUUAAUACAGUUGAGACUUCAACCGUACUUCUAAGGCACUGGAAGCUCUGGAGUUCCCAGGCAGCACAGUCCAGAAGUCCCAGAAGAUUUGCAGCCUUCAGCUGCCUUCAGUUUGACCAGGAAACUAAGCUGACAGAAACCUGCUAGAAAUCUCUUAGAGCAUGGUUCUUGCUAACACUGCAAUUUUAAAAUUACAUAAGGAGUUAUGUGUCUGAUUUCAGUUAAAUAUCUUGCUCCUGUUUAAAUCUAAGGCUUGCUCUUCAUGUGCAUGAGUCAUUAUCAAUGACUUUGAAACUGCAAUAUAUUGUUGCGGCUAUGUUCUUGGUUUCUUACUAUUUAAGAUUUGUUACAGUUUCUCCAGCACCAGAAAAUAUUUCCGUAGUUCUAUGUUUUAAGGCAGACACUCUAAUCUUACUUUUCUUAUGCAUUCUCUAUACCAAGGAUUUACUACAAAUCUAGCUAAAAAAGAAGACACUUCCACGUGCAAACUGUCAAACAUAAAUGAAGGUCAUGUUCACAGUCCUGCCCUUUGGCAAGACAAAUAACAUCUACAUAAAAAAACCAUAAAAAUUAUGUUUUUUCACACUGACAAUUAAAUGUAAUACUAGUAACACAAAUCAAAACCAAUCUGCUAAAGCUGCAUUCCUUUUAAUCAUAUGCAUCUUCGUACAGGUCAGUGAGAUAUGCCUUUAU